AACCCAUAUAGGCCGAUAAUUCCCACUCGUUCUUCGUCCAUGCUGCUCCGAACCUUGUCAAGCCUCGAAUCCAUGCCGACAGUUGCUUCACUUGGCCUUUCACCUACGCGAGGUGAAGGUAACCUCUCAGCCACCAGAUCAAAAGAUCCUUGGCUCAUUAGAUUGUCCACUUCUUUCAACUUUCUAGCCACUCUCUUCCCCAACUUGUAUCUGGUGCUGCAACGCCUAGGACAACAACCACCGAGACAUUUCUUCUCAAUCUCCUCCGUGCCAUCUUCAAUGAGUCGACUGACUUGAGUUUCCAGAUUUUCGACCCUUGAAAGCCACCCUUGAACUUGGUCGAGCCGCUGCAUUUGUUCCCUCUCAGCGAUAUCCACCCUCCUCAUCACAUCGUUCCUGAACUCCCCCAAUCUUUUACAAGCAGUUCCCAGAGCUACCAGAUUUUCUGGGAGUUUGCACAGGUAAUUUGCAUGUUCAGUAGUGCGAUUCCAGCAACUAGAGAUAGCGUGGUUAACGGAGAUUUCGACGGAGAAAAUGUUGCCCAUGGUUUUGUCAAAGAGGAUUAAUAACUAGUUUUGAGGGAAAUGAUGAGCGUGGAGAGCUUUGGGAUGAUGAAUCAAGCAGAAGAGAGGAGUUGGUUUAGAAGGUAUAGGUAUUGGCUUCAACAUCUCGUUGAAGACGGUGCUUCAUGUUCCCUUAUUGCCCCUCAGAUGUAACUUAAUUUGAUUCCAAGCGACUUGUAAUUCCCAUUAAUAUGCUUGGUUUCUAGAAAAUUUGUGGGAAAUGUAAUUAUUGUGACUAUGUCCAUCAAUGAUAUAUAUUGACAA